UCUUAUCCCAUGAAAACUUACUUUGCUUAAGAGCCUUUGGAGUGGGACCUUGUCAAAGGCUUUCUGAAAGUCCACAUACACUAAAUUGAGUGGAUCGCCCUUUUCCACACGUUUGUUGACCCCCCUCAAAUAAUUCCAAAAGAUUGGUGAGGCAUGACUUGACUUCCUUUUACAAAAGCCGUGUUGACUCCUCCCCAACAAAUCAUGUCAAUUUAUUUGUCUGAUAAUUCUGUUCCUUACUAUAAUUUCAACCAGUUUGCCAGGUACUGAAGGUAGGUUUACUGGCCUGUAAUUGCCAGGAUCACCUCUGGCAAAGACCUAUAAAAACAGGCUAUUUGGUUUACUCCAGUAUCAGGAAUACCUUCUCUCCUACUGUAGAUACAAUGGUAUUCCCUCACCCCAUCCCAACACACAGAGCAGUCCACACACAGACUCUCCUUCACUUCAUAUGUCAAUUGACAACAACAAUCAGCUUGUCUCCUGUUGCUCCAUAUGAAGUCUAGAAACAUCCAUCUCACAGAUGCCAUUACACGAAGAGUCAGGGACACCAGGAUACGUCUCCCACCCUCUGUUGUGAGAGGCCUGGACUUGACAUGACCCACAGCCCUCUUGUGUAUGACUUAGCAUAACCUGCAGCCAUCUUGUAUUCUCAGCUACCAUAAAUUAGAAAUAAAAACUAUAAAGUCAGGAAAAUUCAUCCUCAGCAGACAGAAAAAUACCAGCUGCAUCCUUACUAACAGGAAUAGAUACAGUACAAUCACAGUUUCAUGGGAAUAGAAGGAAGUAUGAACAAGCUAACCUUGAAUUUCUGCAAGUUUCUUACUAGGUGCCUGAACUUUUAGUUCAAAGUUGCUUUUGCUGAUAAGUAGCAAUUAUGAGGUUUUGCUGUUGCUAGAGAAGUGGUUUGAGCCCAUUAGGGAUUAUGAUUGGUUAAAUUUAUUGCAUAGUCAUGUUUUAAGUAAAAUACUUCGUUAAAGUAUAGAUAAGAAGGACUCUCAUUUUAACUAUAUAAUGAGGGUCAAAAAAGAUGCCCGCUGGAACUAACUCCGGGACACAGCUCAAGAAUAAAGCUGCCAGAAUGCUUACAUCGUGCACGACCAUUCCGUGUAGAAGCCGGCGCCCCGGACGAGAUCUGAUGCUGACCGGCCAUUGGGAGAAGUCUGGCUGCUUUAUUGGGAGUGGCGAGCAUUAGGCAUUUCUAGAACAACCAACAAACAGCAACACCACAAGACCGGAGGGACGCUACGCAGACAUCUAUUGGGAAGUCUCGGACCAUGACCCAGCACCUGUUUAAGAACACCUUCACAGCAGAUUUGACAAAACGCAAAGAUGGUACCGAUAUGAAAUUUCUAAAAAUAGCUACAGCACUCGACGCAAAGUUUAAGAAUCUGACGUGCCUUCCAAAAUCUGAGAGGGACGAGGUGU